ACUCUCUUAGUAUAAUAAAUACUGCUGACUUCCAAUUAGCAAACUCUGAUGAAACCUCAGAAGAGAGU
rnacentral:tRNA from 1 species